UUACCGUAAAAAGUUAAGCUGGGCAUA
rnacentral:piRNA from 1 species